CCACCACCAAAGCAUUCUCUGGUGUUGAAGGCCCUGCAAAGCAGCAUCGCGGUGGCGGAGCGUCGUUUGCGACGCCCAACACACAAAACAAGCGGUGAGUGCUUUGGGGUGGGGUGACUGCGUACCUUUUGUAUAAUGGGUCAGCGACUUAUAUUCUGUAGCAAGGUUAACCGAAUAGGGGAGCCGGAGGGAAACCGAGUCUUAAUUGGGCGUUAAGUUGCAGGGUAUAGACCCGAAACCCGGUGAUCUAGCCAUGGGCAGGUUGAAGGUUGGGUAACACUAACUGGAGGACCGAACCGACUAAUGUUGAAAAAUUAGCGGAUGACCUGUGGCUGGGGGUGAAAGGCCAAUCAAACCGGGAGAUAGCUGGUUCUCCCCGAAAGCUAUUUAGGUAGCGCCUCGUGAAUUCAUCUCCGGGGGUAGAGCACUGUUUCGGCUAGGGGGCCAUCCCGGCUUACCAACCCGAUGCAAACUGCGAAUACCGGAGAAUGUUAUCACGGGAGACACACGGCGGGUGCUAACGUCCGUCGUGAAGAGGGAAACAACCCAGACCGCCAGCUAAGGUCCCAAAGUCAUGGUUAAGUGGGAAACGAUGUGGGAAGGCCCAGACAGCCAGGAUGUUGGCUUAGAAGCAGCCAUCAUUUAAAGAAAGCGUAAUAGCUCACUGGUCGAGUCGGCCUGCGCGGAAGAUGUAACGGGGCUAAACCAUGCACCGAAGCUGCGGCAGCGACACUCAGGUGUUGUUGGGUAGGGGAGCGUUCUGUAAGCCUGUGAAGGUGGCCUGUGAGGGUUGCUGGAGGUAUCAGAAGUGCGAAUGCUGACAUAAGUAACGAUAAAGCGGGUGAAAAGCCCGCUCGCCGGAAGACCAAGGGUUCCUGUCCAACGUUAAUCGGGGCAGGGUGAGUCGACCCCUAAGGCGAGGCCGAAAGGCGUAGUCGAUGGGAAACGGGUUAAUAUUCCCGUACUUGGUGUUACUGCGAAGGGGGGACGGAGAAGGCUAUGUUGGCCGGGCGACGGUUGUCCCGGUUUAAGCGUGUAGGUGUGUGUUCCAGGUAAAUCCGGUUCACUUUAACACUGAGGCGUGACGACGAGGCACUACGGUGCUGAAGCAACAAAUGCCCUGCUUCCAGGAAAAGCCUCUAAGCAUCAGGUAACAUCAAAUCGUACCCCAAACCGACACAGGUGGUCAGGUAGAGAAUACCAAGGCGCUUGAGAGAACUCGGGUGAAGGAACUAGGCAAAAUGGUGCCGUAACUUCGGGAGAAGGCACGCUGACACGUAGGUGAAGUGAUUUACUCAUGGAGCUGAAGUCAGUCGAAGAUACCAGCUGGCUGCAACUGUUUAUUAAAAACACAGCACUGUGCAAACACGAAAGUGGACGUAUACGGUGUGACGCCUGCCCGGUGCCGGAAGGUUAAUUGAUGGGGUCAGCGCAAGCGAAGCUCCUGAUCGAAGCCCCGGUAAACGGCGGCCGUAACUAUAACGGUCCUAAGGUAGCGAAAUUCCUUGUCGGGUAAGUUCCGACCUGCACGAAUGGCGUAAUGAUGGCCAGGCUGUCUCCACCCGAGACUCAGUGAAAUUGAACUCGCUGUGAAGAUGCAGUGUACCCGCGGCAAGACGGAAAGACCCCGUGAACCUUUACUAUAGCUUGACACUGAACAUUGAGCCUUGAUGUGUAGGAUAGGUGGGAGGCUUUGAAGUGUGGACGCCAGUCUGCAUGGAGCCGACCUUGAAAUACCACCCUUUAAUGUUUGAUGUUCUAACGUGGACCCGUAAUCCGGGUUGCGGACAGUGUCUGGUGGGUAGUUUGACUGGGGCGGUCUCCUCCUAAAGAGUAACGGAGGAGCACGAAGGUUGGCUAAUCCUGGUCGGACAUCAGGAGGUUAGUGCAAUGGCAUAAGCCAGCUUGACUGCGAGCGUGACGGCGCGAGCAGGUGCGAAAGCAGGUCAUAGUGAUCCGGUGGUUCUGAAUGGAAGGGCCAUCGCUCAACGGAUAAAAGGUACUCCGGGGAUAACAGGCUGAUACCGCCCAAGAGUUCAUAUCGACGGCGGUGUUUGGCACCUCGAUGUCGGCUCAUCACAUCCUGGGGCUGAAGUAGGUCCCAAGGGUAUGGCUGUUCGCCAUUUAAAGUGGUACGCGAGCUGGGUUUAGAACGUCGUGAGACAGUUCGGUCCCUAUCUGCCGUGGGCGCUGGAGAACUGAGGGGGGCUGCUCCUAGUACGAGAGGACCGGAGUGGACGCAUCACUGGUGUUCGGGUUGUCAUGCCAAUGGCACUGCCCGGUAGCUAAAUGCGGAAGAGAUAAGUGCUGAAAGCAUCUAAGCACGAAACUUGCCCCGAGAUGAGUUCUCCCUGAGACUUUAGGUCUCCUGAAGGAACGUUGAAGACGACGACGUUGAUAGGCCGGGUGUGUAAGCGCAGCGAUGCGUUGAGCUAACCGG
rnacentral:rRNA from 1 species